rnacentral:rRNA from 1 species
AGAAUCAACGCUGGCGGCGUGCCUCAGACAUGCAAGUCGAACGCGAAAGUCCCCUUCGGGGGACAAGUAGAGUGGCGCACGGGUGAGUAACACGUAGGUAAUCUACCUUUGGAUGGGGAAUAACAAUCGGAAACGGUUGCUAAUACCGCAUAAUGCAGCGGCACCUAAUGGUGACAGUUGUUAAAGCGGGGGAUCGAAAGACCUCGCGUCUGAAGAGGAGCCUGCGGCGGAUUAGCUAGUUGGUAAGGUAAUGGCUUACCAAGGCAACGAUCC